UACGUAGGGACCGAGCGUUGUCCGGAUUCAUUGGGCGUAAAGAGCUCGUAGGCGGCUGCUCAAGUCGAAUGUGAAAACUCGAGGCUCAACCUCGAGCCUGCAUUCGAUACUGGGCGGCUAGAGUCUGGUAGGGGGAUCUGGAAUUCCUGGUGUAGCGGUGAAAUGCGCAGAUAUCAGGAGGAACACCAAUGGCGAAGGCAGCACUCUGGGACGGUACUGACGCUGAGACGCGAAAGCGUGGGGAGCAAACAGG
rnacentral:rRNA from 1 species